rnacentral:rRNA from 1 species
GACGGGUGAGUAAUGCCUAGGAAUCUGCCUGGUAGUGGGGGAUAACGUCCGGAAACGGGCGCUAAUACCGCAUACGUCCUGAGGGAGAAAGUGGGGGAUCUUCGGACCUCACGCUAUCAGAUGAGCCUAGGUCGGAUUAGCUAGUUGGUGGGGUAAAGGCCUACCAAGGCGACGAUCCGUAACUGGUCUGAGAGGAUGAUCAGUCACACUGGAACUGAGACACGGUCCAGACUCCUACGGGAGGCAGCAGUGGGGAAUAUUGGACAAUGGGCGAAAGCCUGAUCCAGCCAUGCCGCGUGUGUGAAGAAGGUCUUCGGAUUGUAAAGCACUUUAAGUUGGGAGGAAGGGCAGUAAGUUAAUACCUUGCUGUUUUGACGUUACCAACAGAAUAAGCACCGGCUAACUUCGUGCCAGCAGCCGCGGUAAUACGAAGGGUGCAAGCGUUAAUCGGAAUUACUGGGCGUAAAGCGCGCGUAGGUGGUUCAGCAAGUUGGAUGUGAAAUCCCCGGGCUCAACCUGGGAACUGCAUCCAAAACUACUGAGCUAGAGUACGGUAGAGGGUGGUGGAAUUUCCUGUGUAGCGGUGAAAUGCGUAGAUAUAGGA